rnacentral:piRNA from 1 species
CCCAUCAGAUCGACCCUGUUGAUC